GGAGUUAGCCGGGUGGCCGCCCGGAAAUGGCUUUUGACUGCCGCGGGAUUUUAACUGCUGGCGGCAUUCUAUUGCUGCCGGCUCUUAAAAGUUCCUGAUGGCUUUUAAAGGUGGUUCCGGGAGGAAAGUCCGAGCUCCGCAGGGCAGGGUGCCGGGUAAUACCCGGCGGGGCUGAAAGAAAUUUCAGCUUCAGCGAAAGUGCAACAGAAAAUAUACCGCCGUACUUUAAUAUAAUCAUUAUUUUACAGUCCGGCAAGGGUGAAAUGGCGGGUUAAGAGCCCACCGGCAGUCUGGCAACAGGCUGGCCUGGAAAACCGCACCCGGAGCAAGGCCAAAUAGGGAAGAUACAAGGCGGCCCGUCUUUCUUCCGGGUCAGGCCGCUUGAGGCAAGUGGCAACAUUUGCCCUAAGAGGGAUGGCCACCGCUGGUGAAGGGUUUUAACCGGUAAACGGUACGCAUCCUUCACCGGUACAGAACUCGGCUUACAGGCUGACUCCACCU
rnacentral:RNase_P_RNA from 1 species